UGAACAAGAGUUACGUAUUCUCUCCUCUCCUUGUCUCUAGCCUGUGAAACAACUUCCUCUUCUUUCACACCAAGUCCACCAUGGAUGAUCGCCGAGAUCCAAUCCCUCCCUCUCACAUUCGCCUCUCUCUCUCUCUCUUUCUUUCUCAAAUCUUGAGGCCCAUCAAGAAAAAGAUUAUUCGCUCAAAGAAUCUACAGUCGCAACCUUUAAUCUGCUACCUCGUCAAUUUCAUCCUGGUGUGUCUUGGUUGGUAGAGGAUUUGUUUCUUCAGCAAAAAUGGUAACUAAAAUGGUGGAUCUGCGAUCCGACACAGUCACUAAACCUAGUGAGUGAAACAAUGCAGGCCGCAAUGGCAGCUGCCGAAGUUCAUGAUGAUGUCAAAAGCCUAGAAGGCUCAGGAAAACCUUAGGAGGUGGAAUGAGACAGGUUGGUAUCCUUUGUGCUGCUGCUUUGGUCGCUUUACAUGAGAAUGUGGCAAACCUCGACACCGAUCACAAGAGAGCUAAGAUUUUAGCAGCGAGCUCUGACUGGAGGCCAUGAUGAAAAUGGAAACUAUACAUGGGACAACACAAGCUCCACCCUUCUCUCUGUGUCUCCAGCAUGAUUUCAUCUACCUUUGAACAUGCGAUUAUUCAAUCUUUGCCAAACUUGUAAACUUCUUUGCUAGUUUCAUUUGUAAGAUUUUAUGGUGGCAGAAUUUAAUGUGUUUUAUUUUAUUUUUUCAUGUAUAUAACAUGACAAUCAAA